AAAAAUAUGAAUGUGGAAAUGAUAAGCGUAAGAAAAAGAAAAUAAUUAAGAGUUAAUUCUAGUACAGGUAGCACUUCUUGUGCUUAUUUUCUUAAUGGAUUUGGUUUUUCAAAGAAGAAAAACUUUUUAAAAGGUACACAAGCGUUUUCAAUAAAAACAUUGUCCAUGAAACAAAAGAUUCAUGGUUUCCUAUAUUUUUUCUAGGAAAGACAUCUUAGGAACAACAAACACAUGGCUUGUCC
rnacentral:lncRNA from 1 species